UCGACGAUGGUCGGUGGGCUGGUUUUGGUAAGCAGAACGGGCGAUUCGGGAUGAACCGGAAGCGGGGAGAAAGGGCCCGAGAUUGCGUCGACGCGGAUCCCGAAAAGGGCGUCGAUCCGUCGCGACAGCGGGACGUGGUCAUGGAAGUCGAAAUCCGCUAAGAAGCGUGUAAAAACGUACCCGCCCAACGGAUCGGCCCCGAAAAUUGAUGGCGCUCGAACGCAACCCUCGAACCCCGCCGACGGAGGCUAGGGGAGGCCCCGUCGAGUAGGCGGACGCGCGGGUCGCUUCGACGCUCCCGCGCGAGCGGGGGCGGAGCGGCCCGUGGUGCAGAUCUUGGUGGUAGUAGCGAUCACCCAGGCGAGAACCCUGAGGGCCGAAGUGGAGAAGGGUUUCUCGAGAACGGCACUCGCUCGAGAGUUAGUCGAUCCUAAGCUGCCGGCGGCAGCCACGAAACGGUCGAUCGGGCGCGAGCCCGGCAGCCACGACCGGGGCAGCGAAAGGGAAUUGGGAACCUCCUUCCCAAACCCGGAACCGGAACGAGGGCGGCGACC
rnacentral:rRNA from 1 species